GCGUAGGGGGUGUACUAAGGGAAGGAAGAGGAAUAGGUAAGGAGUGGUGGUUGGCGCGGGUGGCGAGUCACGUCUCCCACUCCGCCUCCGUUUGGCGUGCGUCGUGCGGCUGCGCUUCGUGGUCCGGCGGCACGAGGCCUAGGAGCGGCUGGCCGAGCUCGACGGCAGCACCCGCCUCCACCUCCGCCUCCGGCUCCUGGCGCCGCCAACGCUUGUUGUAAAUAUACGUGCCUCCUCCUUCCACGCGCACACCGACGAUGACCCGAAGCUCGAGACGGAGGUGGCGGCGCCUCGCUCCUACCCUUGCCGCCCACGCGCGCACCGACCCGAGGGGCCGCGCCGAGUCGGAGGCGCUGCUCCGCCUACCGCCCCCUACGACCUCCACGCAUCGCCGUCCCUCGCAGCGACCGCACGCUCUAAACUACGCGUACUUCCCGACAUCGACCCUCGCCGUCGUCGCCGCUGACGGGGAGGCCGGCUCGACAAGUUGCGGCGUCGCCCCCGGAUGGAGCCGCGGCAGAAGUCGUCGCAGCUCUACCCUGACCACCACCAGCAAGGGUAGUGGUCAAUACCCGUUGUACGCCCGUUGUACGGCCUCUGCUGAUAGAUGGCCGCCUACCUGGUCAUGUGCUGCUGCGCCUGCCACGGGCCGCACGAGCACGACGCGCGCCUGAGCGGGUAGAUGAAGUGGUUGAGGCCAUAGUACGCCCUCUCCUAGUGGACCACCUAACUGCUGCGCUGCUGCUGCUGCUUGCCUUAUCACGGUUCCCGUUCUGGCCGCACGUCAUGUAGUAGGAGCUGUCCCACGGUAGUCGUCGUAGCAGUCCUCCCCGUACGACCUGCUCGAGUUCUUCUGGGACCUGUCCUCCUCGUAAGUCCAUUCUUGUCUCGUUGUGUUUAACAGUACAAAGGUUCCUUUUAUCUCGUACGAAACACUAUACUUGUUACCGACUAAGUAGCAAAACAUUUGGAUUUGAAAAGGUCGUUUGAACCCUCUUUAAAUAUAAGUCUAUCGUGUACCUUUAAAUAUAAGUCUACUAUACCGAUGAAGUACAAUCCCUCUUUAAAAUCUCACCUCUCGUAUAAUUCGAUGGUAGUCAAAAAAACUGUAUGGUUUAACUACAACCUUGGUAUACGUAACCAUUACAAUUAACGGUACCGUUUUUAUGAAAAAUUAUUUCACCGGUAGUCAAAAAAUAAGUCAUUUACUACCCGUACCGUUGAUACGUAAUAAGACAUCCUUCAAGUAGCUUAAGUAAGUAUUGAACCGUUUUAAUAUAUAUCAAACAUACCUUUUAAGUGAAGGUGUAAUACAAAAGUGUUGUACCUUUUAAACAUAUAAAGUUAGAAGCAUUAUAGGUGCACCGCUACCCGUCCCCAUUACCCGACGUGGCUAAGUCUGCUGGCACUCUACCUCCUUUUAAAUCAAAUAACUGGUACCGUUCAAAAUAAUUGACUGGUACCGCUUAAAUUCAAAAAAAACGCCCCCGAAAAUUCAAAAGAAGCUGGUACCGUUUAAAUUUAAAUUUAAAGGGUACCGGCUAAUUAUUUUGAACGGUACCAGUUGUUUGAUUAAAAAGGUACCAAAAUAAUUAGCCGGUACCGUUUAAACUUCAGGCUGGUACCGGUCAAAUCAUUAACUGGUACCGCUUAAAUCAAAUAUCUAGUACCGUUCAAAAUUCAGGAAAAAGCUGGUACCUUUUAAAUCAUUAACUGGUACCGUUUAAUAAAAAACCAUCUAGUACCGUUUAAAUCAUUAACAAUUCUUGUAGGUGUAGAAGACAGUACGGGAAAAAACCAUUUUAAAUGAGGUAAAAACGGUACCUUUUUUAUGAAAAUAAGUGUACCGUUUGAAAUCACAUUCAACGGUACCUUUAAAAAUCAAAUUCAACGGUACCGUUUAAAUAACAUUUCUCGUACGGGUGAAAACAAAAUUUAUACUACCGUUUAAAUGUAAAAGAUCUUGUACCGUUAAAAUUGAUACAUCGUGCCAUUUAUAUAAACAUAUCGGUACCGUAAAAGAUUUAAAUAAAGGUACAGUUUUCGUGAGGUAAAACGGUACCUUUAUUAAUUAGGUAAAAACGGUACCGUUUAAAAUGAGGUAAAAACGGUACCGUUUAUAUUGAGGUAAAAACGGUACAGUUUUUAUGAAAGAUAAAAGUGUACCGUUUAAAAAUCAAAAUCAACGGUAACGUUUAAAAUAAAAAUCAACGGUACUGUUUAAAUAACAUUCCUCGUACCGUUAAAAUUAAAUUUAUAAUACCGUUUAAAUGUAAAAUAUCUUGUACCGUUUAAAAUGAUACAUCGUAGAAUUUUUAUAAACACAUCGGUACCGUAGAAAAAUAAAUAAAGGUACCGUUGUUAAUUUGGUAAAAACGGUACCGUUUAAUAGAUCUAAAGAUACACUAUAAACGACAUUCAAAAAAAAGUCAAAAAAUCAACCAAAAUAAAAACGCUAUCAAAAAAAAUGGAUUUACCCGGAUAAACCGGACGGUCGUGUUCGCUGUACUCACAAAAUGAGAAAAAACGGUACCGUUAAAAAUAAAAAUUACCGUACUGUUAAAAAUGAGAUAAAAACGGUACCGUAAAAAAAUGAAGAUUAUAUUCGACUACGUACUUUAUUUAGAGAUCUACUUGUAUAAUUUCUACAACUUCUACCAUUCAAACUCAUAUUGUAUUGUAUGUAAAAAACACAUCCUGUACCGUUUAACAACUUGUUGAAAAAUUAUCUAAAGGGUAUGAUAAAAUCACAUGACCUGCGUGCUCGUACAGUUGAAAAAAGUAUCGUACCGUUUUCUGGUACCGUAAAAAACAGCACGUUUGCUUGUUACAGAUAAAACAGUGUCGUUUUUAUUCCGAAAAAGCAAGAACACCCGAAAAAAAAACAUGUCUUUUUUCCGGGCAUCCCCGCUACCCUUCCUCUCGCAAGCCCGACCCUCCGGAGAGGAGGGCUUAUUAAAGCAAGCAUACUCCGACAGACAGCGUGGCUUGAGGAGCAAGGCAGACCCUCGGAGGGUCUGGCUUGCAAACCAGGAAUAGCUGCAGGUUGAAUUUGACGCAGGUUCGGUUCGGCCUGGGUUCAUCCUCUGUCCCCCUUUAUAAGAGCCACGUAUGGUACAUUUGACGCAGGACGCGCAUAGGCUCGACUAGAAGCCGUAUAGAUACAAUCAGGCAGAUUGGUGGGGUUGGUUGCGGUCCUUUGUGUGGCGGCGUGGGUGCGGAAACCGGACGAUGCUUAGACGGAGGAGAGGUGGUACAGGGUGGUGUGGUGGCGCGGGCCGACACACGGGUUCGGACGACGGUAACGAUGACGUUAACCCAGCACUGGUUACAAAACCAAUGGCCAGUUUUAAAGCUCUAAAGGGUACCAAUGGCGCAUAAAGGCACCGGGAGCCAUUUAGGGGUAUGGUUCGUUUUUUAUGGUUAAAAAACUUAAAUUUGCGAGCUAAAGAUCAUUUCAUACAUCCUAGAUUAAUUACGGUACUCUCAACCAAGACUGCACAACUAUCUUUGGAUCAAGAACAAAACUCUCCAGAGACCAAGCUUACAAGUAAGUAAGUGAAUAAACUUAAGUUUUAAAUUAAUAUUUUAAGCGAGCUUUAUAAGAGCCAUAAAAAACCAUUGGCACCAUUGGUGCAAAUGGUCAGGGGGACCCAUUUUAACAGAGUAAGCCAUUGGUUUUGGAACCAGCACUGUAUCAGCGACACUACGAGUAGCGGCGGAUGCGGCAGCAGGAGGGCGAGGCGUAGUGGCGGCUCCUGCGCAGGGACCCGGCGGAGCGGGAGCGGCCCGGGUUGCCGUGGCGCGACCGCAUGUUGGAGAGGGAGUGGCAGCCGGAAAAGUUGGGGUUGACCCGGUACGCGCGGCUCGAGUGGCGCGGCGACCUCAGCCUCGAGUCGAAGCGGCCGCAAGCAAAACUGCCGCGCGCCGACAGGCUGCGCCCUGCCUCCUAGCUCUAGGUGCUCUGGUGGUCCAAGGUGCACCUCCGCCCCCGAGUCUCGCGCCUACGCCGCGAGCCCUCGCGGCACGACCGCCUCGACCACUUCCUCUGGCACCGCCCGGUCAAGCUCAGCGACCUCGACUUCUAGUGGCCUUCCGAGUCCAUGUCCGGCCACGUGCGGCCGCCCUGGUCCUCCGACCUCCGGUCCACGGGAGACUUCGACGCGGACCGCGGCGGCCUCCCGUGCGUGUACGAACACGACCUGUCCCACUAGUUCACGGUGGCCGAAAUCCAGAUAUCGUCUAACACUAAUUAAGCGAUCCCAAAGCAGGACCGUAUACUACUAGCUCAUGAUACGAUCGUCAUGUACUCACGAAGACAAAGGAUCAAGAUCACGGAUACAACGAGAACACUUGUCUAUUCUCUACCUGUACAGCACACUACACAUCAAUAGAAGACAAACGAUCAUUAGAACGGACCAUUAGAACUAAGUUACGACAUGCGAGACUACUUCUUCCGAAAGGAAACUAAGAUACAUUGGUGUAUAUAAAGUGACAGGGGGACGAAACGCAAUUAAUGAAAACAUUAAUUCAACGACCUACCUAAACAUAGCCGG
rnacentral:rRNA from 1 species